UGAGCCGGGACUCGAGACCCCGAGGUGCUCCCACCGAGCUGUCAGAGGCUGAGGCCGCUCCGCGGCUGCUGGCACGCGCCUGCAGCUCCAGGCGGUCGGGGCGAAGGAGGGGGGGAGAAGAGGACGCGUCAAACGCCCAGCUCUGGCGGACGGUCGUUUCUGCCCCCUGUGCGGGCUCCUGGGACAAUAAAAUACUCCCGCUAAUAGUCUUAUCGUUGGUUUCCUGGGGCUGCUGCUGCUCACUGGGGAGCGAAGAGCUGCACGUGAGCGUUCCCCCCUCCGGCAGGCUGCACAAUAGUGCGGUCUCCCCCGCCUCUCCACCAGGCAUAAGGCAAGCGAGAAGGGACGCACCUCUUCCGGCUCGCAAAGCGAAACGGAGAGGGGAUCCGGUCGUUGGCUGCCACCGCGGCGUUCCGCAGCAGAGGCCUGCUCCGAGGUCCCGAGAGACGGAGAGCGAGCCCGGGCCUCACAGCCUUCUCCGCCCGAUUACAGCAGAAUGGGGAGACGCAAAACCACGUGGACGUGCUCUCUGAUCAGGACCUCGCUGGGAAUGUGGAAGGGCUGGCCUCCGAGAGCGGCCGGUGGCCCUGGCGCUGGGCACUCAGCCAUCACGAAGGCCUGCCCUGGUCUCAGCCCUUCCACAGGGAGACACGGAGCUUCCAAGUGGGCCCCGGGAGCAUCUGACCCUGCCGGGGCGAGGGCUCUGACUCUGGCAUUCAGGUUUAAAGGUCCCUUUGAAGCGCCGACCUAGCGGCCUCCCAUCACCUCUCACCCGUGCAGAAGAAAGAAGAGUGCUGAUCUGCUGCUUCCAGUGCAGAGGCUGCCCCAUUCCAGCCAAACGCGUGUCUGUCCCCUCCAAGCACUUCUGCCUUGGUAUGAUAACGACUGCUUUUCAAAGUGAUAAUGAUACAAUAAAAAGAACUAGAAAGAAA